rnacentral:rRNA from 1 species
GACGUAGGGCGCGAGCGUGUCCGGAUUUAUUGGGCGUAAAGAGCUCGUAGGCGGCUUGUCGCGUCGUCCGUGAAAACUCGGGGCUCAACCCCGAGCUUGCGGUCGAUACGGGCAGGCUCGAGUUCGGUAGGGGAGACUGGAAUUCCUGGUGUAGCGGUGAAAUGCGCAGAUAUCAGGAGGAACACCGGUGCGAAGGCGGGUCUCUGGGCCGAUACUGACGCUGAGGAGCGAAAGCGUGGGGAGCGAACAGG